rnacentral:lncRNA from 1 species
AUGGAUGGCCACCGGUCUUCUUUUGACCAGACAGUCCCUGGGAAUGAGGAAAUGCUUGAUGCUCAGGAGCAGAAGAGUAGCAGUGCUAGCCCAGAAAUGGAGAGAAAAGCGGGACGGAGGCCAGAUGUGCUGAACCAAUCUCUGCAGACAGACAGCAAAGUCAGCAUUUUCCAGCGGAAACAACUGGUGGACCAAAGCUUGCAGACCGAUGUUUCUGGCAGCACAAGAAACAGUGUGACAUCUCUUGGGUCUCAUGAUAGCAGCCCUUGGCUCCCCGGCCAGGAAUCCUGUCCCAGCAGGCAACAGUCGGUUGGCCAUCCGUUCAUUCAGAGUCAGAAGUCUUCUCGAGUGCAGUCUGAACAAAAGGUUGCUGUAUCUGAUUGGGCCGAAAUGGAACAAACUGCAGGGCAAGACUCUGGCUUUGGGAAUGACCAGGCGGAGAGCUGGGGAUCUCGCCGGGUUAGUCGACAAGAAGAGAGACCGGAAUCUCAGCAGCCUUGCCAGGAAGCCAGUGAGAGCAACUUCUUAGAAUGUCAACAGACUUCCCAGGGACAAACUUUGAACAAUAACAACACAAUGAAGAAAGACUCUUGGUUCAAUGAUAGAACAGGCGUGUAUGUGGUUUCUAGUGGUAAUCAGACAAGUAUUGUUUGGGGUCCAGAAUCACUUGCAGAAAUUCUCCUGCCUUUUAAAGAAUCUGUGAUAAUCAAGCAGUUAGACAAGGAAACGCUUAAGGAUGAAGACAUGAAAAUCUCUUCUGCAGAUGCAGAAAUGGAACAAGCUGUAGCCCAAGAAUCUCAUCACAGUGUUCACCAGCUGGAGGAGAUGGAAUCAAGGCGUUCUAGUCGCCAGCCCACGGCCCAAGAAUCUCAUCACAGUGUUCACCAGGCAGAGGAGAUGGAAUCAAGGCGUUGUAGUCGCCAGCCCACGGCCCAAGAAUCUCAUCACAGUGUUCACCAGCCAGAGGAGAUGGAAUCAAGGCGUUGUAGUCGCCAGCCCACAGCCCAAGAAUCUCAUCACAGUGUUUACCAGCCAGAGAUGCAGGAAUACAGGAUAGGCACAGGGUCCCACCCAAGCAUCCAACAACUAGAAGCAGAAAAAACUAGGUCAGACGAACAACGAGCAAGACGACGUAAGAAAACACACAAAAUUAAAGUUGACCAGGCUCAACAGACAGACAGUGCAGACAGUCUGGCAAAAGAAUUGUUUGAAAGAGGUGCACAGACAAGUAUCACAAGUGCUGAAAAAAUCAGUGCCACCACUGAAUGGCAAGACUCCCGCCAUGGCAGCCAGCAGCCUGACCUUCAAGAAGGAGACCAGAGCAUGCAUCCAGUUCAAUUGCAAGAGCCCUGUGCUCUCAGCCAGCCACUAGAAGCACCUGAAAGCUGCAGAAGUAGCCUGCAGUAUGAGCUGCGAGGCUCUCACCAUGGAAGCGAGCUGCUUGGUGCUACAGAACACCACCGCAGCAGUCUUCCUACUCAUUUACAAGAUUCUUUCCAUGAUGGCUUGCAACAAGAAGUUCAAGAAUUCCACCGGGGUAGCCUCCCGAUAGAAUUGGAGGAUUCCCGCCGUGGGAGCAGGCAAGUUGAUGCUCCAGAACCCCACCGAAGCAGUCUUCCAAUUCAGUUACAAGAUUCUUGCCAUGACAGCAUGCCGUGUGCAGCACAAGGAUUCCCCAGGAGCAGCCUCCCUGCUGAAUUGCAAGAUUCCCACCGAGACAGCGAGCAGAGUCACUUUCAGCAACCUCACCGUGACAGUCUCCUACCCGGGAGACGAGAAUCUGAACCUGCAGGUGAACAACUUGAAGCAAGACACAGCCAGAGUGGCCAGAAACCUCUGGGCACAGAAUUCAGAAUGGAUGAUGAGAAGGAGCCCCAGAUGCCCAUGUCUUUUGAUAAUGAGCCAGUGCUGCCCAAACAGAAAGCUUCAUUUGGUCAGCAGACCUACAGCAUCAUUUCCAUUGAAGGAACUACCUGGUUAAACCGAAGAAGUGGUACGCUAAUGAGAAACCAGAGCCAACAGACCAUGACUAGUUGGCUCCAGAAUUAUAGGGAGAAAAAACAGAUGCUCUCUACUGAAAAAUUGGAGUCAAAGAGUGGAGAACCUGAGGUUGAACGAUCAACCUGCCCCCUAGAUGAAAAAGAAGCAGCUGACCAGCCGCUCACAGAGCCCGAAGCUCAGAAUGUCAUCCAAGAGGCUGGAGCCCUGGAGUCCGAGACAGAGAGCAGGGGGCCUCUUCCAACCGAAUCCCGGAGGGGUAGCGAACUGCGCUCCAUGCCUGGGUCUAGGAGGGGCAGCGGAAUGCCUUCUGAGGCUGAUUCCCGAAGGGGCAGCAAACCAUCCACGGUCCCUAAUUCCCGGAAGGGCAGCAGAUUGCCUGCUCUCCCCGAGACAUGGAAGGACAGCGAACAGCCCGCUCUUCCUGAAUCGCCUGAACGAUACGUGUUUGAGUUGCCUGGAUCCAGGAAGGCUAGUGAAUCCCCGGCUGUACCACAGUCCCGGAAGGCCAGUGAACCGCCCAUGACGCUUGAGUCCUGGAAAGCCGGAGAAUGCCCAGACUUGCCUGAGCCCCAUAGGACCAACGAACAACCUCUCGUAGAUGAGGUCUGGGUGGCAAGUGAACUGCCCUCUGUGCCACAAUCCCGGAAGGGCAGUGAACCACCCACUGUGCCCGAAUCUCGAAAGGCCAGUAUAUUGCCUACUGUACCUGAAUCCCGGAAGGCCAGUGAAACACCUGUUGUGCUGGAAUCCCAAAAGGCCAGCGAACCAUUCUUUGUGCCUGAAUCUCGAAAGGCCAGUGUGUCACCAACUGUGCCACAGUCCCGGAAGGCCAGCGAACUGCCCUCUGAGCUUGAAUCUUGCAAGGCCAGUGAAUCACCUGCUCUGCCUGAAUCUCAAAACGUGAGUCAAUUGCCAAAUGUGUCCGAAUCCCGGAAAGCCAGCGAAGCAUCCACCCUGCCCCAAUCAUCUAUUGUGCCCGAAUCCCGAAAGCUCAGUGAAUCACCCACUGUGCCACAAUCCAGGAAGGGCAGUGAAACGACCUCCAUGCCACAAUCCCGGAAAGGCAGUGAGCCACCCGCUGUGCCCGAAUCUCGAAAGGCCAGCAUAUUGCCCACUGUGCCUGAAUACCAAAGGGCCAGUGAAUCAUCCUUUGUGCUUGAAUCCCAGAAGGUCAGCGAAACACCCAUUGUACCUGAAUCCCGAAAGGCUAGUGAAUCACCCACUGUGCCACAAUCCCGGAAGGGCAGUGAAACCUCCUCUGUGCCACAAUCCCGGAAGGGCAGUGAAACCUCCUCUGUGCCACAAUCCCGGAAGGGCAGUGAAACCUCCUCUGUGCCACAAUCCCGGAAGGGCAGUGAAACCUCCUCUGUGCCACAAUCCCGGAAGGGCAGUGAAACCUCCUCUGUGCCACAAUCCCGGAAGGGCAGUGAAACCUCCUCUGUGCCACAAUCCCGGAAGGGCAGUGAAACCUCCUCUGUGCCACAAUCCCGGAAGGGCAGUGAAACCUCCUCUGUGCCACAAUCCCGGAAGGGCAGUGAAACCUCCUCUGUGCCACAAUCCCGGAAGGGCAGUGAAACCUCCUCUGUGCCACAAUCCCGGAAGGGCAGUGAAACCUCCUCUGUGCCACAAUCCCGGAAGGGCAGUGAAACCUCCUCUGUGCCACAAUCCCGGAAGGGCAGUGAAACCUCCUCUGUGCCACAAUCCCGGAAGGGCAGUGAAACCCCCUCUGUGUCACAAUCCCGGAAGGGCAGUGAGCCACCUGCUGUGCCUGAAUCUCGAAAGGCGAGCAUAUUGCCCACUGUGCCUGAAUCCCAGAAGGCCAGCGAAACGCCCAUUGUACCUGAAUCCCGAAAGGCCAGUGAAGGACCCAUUAUGCCAGAAUCACGAAAGGCCAGUGAACCAUUCUUUGUGCCUGAAUCUCGAAAGGGCAGUGAAUCACCCAUUGUGCCUGAAUCUCGAAUGGCCAGCAUAUUGACCAUUGUGCCUGAAUCCCGGAAGGCCAGUGAAUCACCAGUUGUGCCAGAAUCCCGAAAGGCUAGUGAAUCACCCACUGUGCCACAAUCCCGGAAGGGCAGUGAAACCUCCUCUGUACCACAAUCCCGGAAGGGCAGUGAGCCACACGCUGUGCCUGAAUCUCGAAAGACCAGCAUAUUGCCCACCGUGCCUGAAUCCCAAAGGGCCAGUGAGUCAUCCUUUGUGUUUGAAUCCCAGAAGGCCAGCGAAGCACCCAUUGUACCUGAAUCCCGAAAGGCCAGUGAAUCACCCAUUGUGCCUGAAUCCCGGAAGGCCAGUGAAUCACCAAUUGUGCCAGAAUCCCGAAAGGCUAGUGAACCAUUCUUUGUACCCGAAUCUCGAAAGGCCAGUGAAUCACCCACUGUGCCACAAUCCCGGAAGGGCAGUGAACCACGCACUGUGCCCGAAUCUCGAAAGGCCAGUAUAUUGCCUACUGUACCUGAAUCCCGGAAAUCCAGUGAAACACCUGUUGUGCUGGAAUCACAAAAGGCCAGUGAACCAUUCUUUGUGGCUGAAUCUCGAAAGGCCAGUGAACCACCCACUGUGCCGCAGUCCCGGAAGGGCAGUGAAAUCUCCUCUGUGCCACAAUCCCGGAAGGGCAGUGAACCACGCACUGUGUCCGAAUCUCGAAAGACCAGUAUAUUGCCUACUGUACCUGAAUACCGAAAGGCUAGUGAAUCACCCAUUGUGCUGGAAUCACAAAAGGCCAGUGAACCAUUCUUUGUACAUGAAUCCCGAAAGGCCAGUGAAUCACCCACUGUGCCACAAUCCCGGAAGACCAGUGAACCGUCCUCUGUGCCUGAGUCCCAGAAGGUCAAUGAACCAUUCCCUGUGCCCGGAUCCCAAAAGCCAAGUGAACCAUCCUCUGUGCCUGAAUCUCGGAAGGCCAGUGAACAAAGUUUUUUGAAACAUGUAUCUUCUUUUUCUGCGAAAGCUCAGCAGACGUACAGCAUUAUUUCUGUUGAGAUAAAUACCUGGAUGAACAGAAGAACCGGCAAAUUAAUGACAUCCAGUAGUCAACAAACUGAGAGGAGCUGGAUGCAGGACUAUAUAGCAAAAAAAUUAAAAGGUGUCGCUAAAGAUAGUCUGACGGCAGCUGAACUUACCAGCCCUGAGAACGAUGGAAAAGAUGCUGCAGAACAACAGCACACUAGCAAGGGUGAAGUGGAAACUGAGGAGUCCUGGUGGGGCAGCCAACAAGCAGAGGUGCAGGAGUCCCGGCGGAGCAGCCAACAGGCAGAGGUGCAGCAGUCCUGGCGGGGCAGCCAACAGGCCGAAAAGCUAGGUUGCGAAAGGGGCAACAAAUUGGACGUUGUGCAAGAAUCACAAGAAAGAAGCCCACAGCCAGUGUGUGAUGAAUUUCAGUACAGUAACAGCAUGUGGAACUCAUUAGGUAGUGAUUUCAAGUUGCCUGGUGAGUCUGAAAGCAAGGCUACCCUUGAGAGCUUAUCCUCAUAUGUUGAGGGAGAAGAUGAAGCUCUGCAGACGUCUAGCAUCAUUUCUCUCGAAGUUGGGAUCUGGCUAAACAGAAAAACUGGGAAGAUAUUGAGAAGCCAUAGUCAACAGACAAGUGCCAGCUGUCUUCAUACUGAUUGUAGAGGACCUCCGGAACACAACAGAGAUACAGCAGAGAGCCCACAGGUAUCCCAAGCCAAUGUUAGGCCACUUGACGAGAAACCAGGCGAAGCGUCUUGCGAUAGUCUCACCUUUGCGCCAUCUUUGGGUGAGCUGCAGGCUGGCGAUGAAUUUGAAAAAGUGGCCAGUGCCUCUAGGAGCGAAGCAAUCCUACAGAGUGUGCCCUCGUCCCUGACGAAUGCAGAGGUGGUGUCCUUGCCCAUCUACACGGUGGUUUCUGUGGCCGAAGGCAGCUGGCGGAAUGUCCAAACGGGAAAGCUGCUGGCCUCUAGGUGCCAGCAGACAGACAAGUCUUCCAUCCAAGAGGUUCAUCAGCCCGUCCGGCGCACUAGUUAUUCACCCGAGCUGAGUUAUGAUGACCUAAAGGAUGUACAGAUAAGUGAAAGCUCACAACCAAUCUGCUAUAGCGAUAUACUCUAUAGUGAACCCAAGGGGCCCUCUACGUACCAGCAGACGGACAAGUCUUCCAUCCAAGAGGGUCAUCAGCCCGUCCGGCGCACUAGUUAUUCACCCGAGCUGAGUUAUGAUGACCUAAAGGAUGUACAGAUAAGUGAAAGCUCACAACCAAUCUGCUAUAGCGAUAUACUCUAUAGUGAACCCAAGGGGCCCUCUACGUACCAGCAGACGGACAAGUCUUCCAUCCAAGAGGGUCAUCAGCCCGUCCGGCGCACUAGUUAUUCACCCGAGCUGAGUUAUGAUGACCUAAAGGAUGUACAGAUAAGUGAAAGCUCACAACCAAUCUGCUAUAGCGAUAUACUCUAUAGUGAACCCAAGGGGCCCUCUACGUACCAGCAGACGGACAAGUCUUCCAUCCAAGAGGGUCAUCAGCCCGUCCGGCGCACUAGUUAUUCACCCGAGCUGAGUUAUGAUGACCUAAAGGAUGUACAGAUAAGUGAAAGCUCACAACCAAUCUGCUAUAGCGAUAUACUCUAUAGUGAACCCAAGGGGCCCUCUACGUACCAGCAGACGGACAAGUCUUCCAUCCAAGAGGGUCAUCAGCCCGUCCGGCGCACUAGUUAUUCACCCGAGCUGAGUUAUGAUGACCUAAAGGAUGUACAGAUAAGUGAAAGCUCACAACCAAUCUGCUAUAGCGAUAUACUCUAUAGUGAACCCAAGGGGCCCUCUACGUACCAGCAGACGGACAAGUCUUCCAUCCAAGAGGGUCAUCAGCCCGUCCGGCGCACUAGUUAUUCACCCGAGCUGAGUUAUGAUGACCUAAAGGAUGUACAGAUAAGCGAAAGCUCCCAACCAACCUGCUACAGCGAUAUACUUUAUAAUGAACCCGAGGUGCCCGGUGGAUAGGAUGGGCUCGAACCGGCUGGAGACAGUGGAGACCGAGCUGCCCUUCUGGAGGAAAGGUGUAUGUCUGGAAGAACUAAAAUAAGGCUCCUGGAAACAUGUGAGAGCAGAAUAAAAACAAGGAAACCUAUAUAUUUUGUGGUUAA